rnacentral:tRNA from 1 species
GAAGAUGUAGCUCAGUGGUAGAGCAUUUGCCUAAUAUUCACAAGGACCUGGGUCAAUCCCCAGUAUCACCA